GGGUUGGUGGUGUAAUGGCAACCGCUUCUGCUUCAUAAGCAGAAGGUCAUGGGUUCAAACUCAUGCCCGUUCA
rnacentral:tRNA from 1 species